ACCGGUUUUAAAAAGUGGUUUCACA
rnacentral:miRNA from 15 species